AUGUACCAUGUGGCCUCUGCCCUCCCAGACUGGAGUUAGAACUGAGCAGUUUAAAGAAGACUUCUGAAAUUUGUUAGGCACAUUGCACCAGGUCUAGUGCUGGCUAGACCUGGAAGAUCUAGGAUCCUGGAGCCUGGUUGCAUAAUAUGGAAGGCUGCUGUUUACGUCAAAAUACUGCUUAUCUCUGGAGCUCUCAGAUGAAGUGGCUGUGUGCCAACAUGCUGGAGAGUGAAGGGAAGCCAUCCAAAGAUUUAAGAUUUGCUGCAAACAAAUCUCAAAAGUUCUACCUUCUUCAAAUCAAGUUCUGACAAGUGAGAAGAAUACUUGAUAACUAGGGCACCUCGUGAGCAUCCUUGCUAUUCCUAGCAUGGAUAUGAACUCCAGAAGCUUGAACUCUAGAAGCUACCUUAUAUCAUGAAGUGGCUUUGAAGAAAGAAACCACGUGCGUGGAGUAUUCUAGCCAGAGAUGGAAGGAACCUGGAUCCAUGAGAAUUUUGGAGCACCCAUACCUGUUUGGACUGCCUACUGUUGUUAUUCCUCUUUAAUGCAUUUCUUAAAUAUUUAAUUCACUGUUAUUCCAUGUUUCCUUUUAUGCAAAGACAAACUUAAUCUUUGUACACCAUGCUAUCUCUUUUUGUUUAUUUUCUUGUGUUUUGUUGAAUUAAGCCUUGCUAUUUUAAUUGUACAGCAUUUUACUUUUUCUUCCUCCAAUGA